AGCAGCCGCGGUAAUUCCAGCUCCAAUAGCGUAUAUUAAAGUUGUUGCAGUUAAAAAGCUCGUAGUUGAAUUUCGGGGUCAGUAGGUUGGUCAUGCCACUGGUAUGUACUGGUCUCACUGAUUCCUCCUUCCUGAUGAGCCGUAAUGCCAUUAAUUUGGUGUUGCGAGGAAUCUGGACUGUUAACUUUGAAAAAUUAGAGUGUUUAAAGCAAGCUAACGCUUGAAUACAUUAGCAUGGAAUAAUGAAAUAGGACGUUCGAUCCUGUUUUGUUGGUUUCUAGGAUUGACGUAAUGAUUAAUAGGGAUAGUUGGGGGCAUUAGUAUUCAAUUGUCAGAGGUGAAAUUCUUGGAUUUAUUGAAGACUAACUACUGCGAAAGCAUUUGCCAAGGAUGUUUUCAUUAAUCAAGAACGAAAGUUAGGGGAUCGAAGACGAGUCAGAUACCGUCGUAGUCUUAACCAUAAACUAAUGCCGACUAGGGAUCGGAUGAUGUUAAUUUUUAAUGACUCAUUC
rnacentral:rRNA from 1 species